rnacentral:tRNA from 1 species
GCCCGGGUGGUGAAAUUGGUAUACACAAGGGACUUAAAAUCCCUCAGCUUUAUAGCUAUGCGGGUUCAAGUCCCGCUCCGGGCACCA